rnacentral:lncRNA from 1 species
AUGAAAGUGUGAUUAUGUAGUGCUUAGUCGUAGUGGGAGAAUCAUAGCGAAGAUUGAUUUGUUUUGUAUGCUUGAGAGAACUUUUAUAAUCUGAAAAGAAGUACACUCUUGGAAGGUUUCAUGAGAAGCUCUCUCAAGAUCUAGUACAAAAUCAAUUUGUUACGACGAAGAACUACUAGACAAAAUUGCAUGAGAAAAUAGAAAUAAAGGA